UCCUGCAUGGGGGUUGGUGGAAAGCUUUUGCGGUUGGGGAUGGGCCCGCGGCCUAUCAGCUUGUUGGUGGGGUAAUGGCCUACCAAGGCGACGACGGGUAGCCGACCUGAGAGGGUGAUCGGCCACACUGGGACUGAGACACGGCCCAGACUCCUACGGGAGGCAGCAGUGGGGAAUAUUGCACAAUGGGCGCAAGCCUGAUGCAGCGACGCCGCGUGAGGGAUGACGGCCUUCGGGUUGUAAACCUCUUUCACCAGGGACGAAGCUAACGUGACGGUACCUGGAGAAGAAGCACCGGCCAACUACGUGCCAGCAGCCGCGGUAAUACGUAGGGUGCGAGCGUUGUCCGGAAUUACUGGGCGUAAAGAGCUCGUAGGCGGUUUGUCGCGUCGUCUGUGAAAUUCUGCAACUCAAUUGUAGGCGUGCAGGCGAUACGGGCAGACUUGAGUACUACAGGGGAGACUGGAAUUCCUGGUGUAGCGGUGAAAUGCGCAGAUAUCAGGAGGAACACCGGUGGCGAAGGCGGGUCUCUGGGUAGUAACUGACGCUGAGGAGCGAAAGCGUGGGUAGCGAACAGGAUUAGAUACCCUGGUAGUCCACGCCGUAAACGGUGGGUA
rnacentral:rRNA from 1 species